GGAAUGAGGACAUUCUAGAAAUUAAUGGACCUGCUUCUCGGAAAUAAAGAAUUGUAGUGUACUGGUUACUUCAUCCACAUUUAAUAGGUUCGGUUUGCGCGGGUUGAAUACUUGAAUGUGGACACUGAUAUACACAGGAUCAAAUACUUGGCAUUCAACCUACAGCGAGACCUCUUCCUGGUGGAGUACUACAGUGAAUGCUGGGUAACUACAUUAAAUUGUGGGUCAGUUUUAUGGAAUGGUCAAAUCAGGAUAAUCUGCCAUGCAACUUU
rnacentral:lncRNA from 1 species